GUUGUCCGGGACUUUUCUCUCCUUUAUUUUUCAGAGGGGGAAAAGGUGAAUAUCAGGAAUUACGGCUGAGGCUGCACAGAGGCAGACAGGAGGGCACCUGCCGGCCUCACUCCCAAAUCUUCACCAACUGCACAGCUCCACGAUGGCUUUUUGCAAGGAAACAGCUCGCUUGCCAAUAAUAAUAAUUAUUAUUAAUAACCGAGUGACGUCCCAUUCUCGGUUACAUCAGUGCCAUACCCUGAGCCAGAGCUCCUGCCAAUCACCCUCCCCCCCCAGCAGAGCGGAGGCUGGGAGCUGCCGGGGGGGGGUUAGGAGGAGGUGUGCGGGGAGCAAUGGCCUGGAGCCGUGUCUGGGUUUUGCCCGGGGGGGACGUAGGCACCAGAGGGGACAUACAUGACAUACAUAGGGUUUCCAGCACGGCCAGCUCACACCUCCUCCCUCUGCACGCCCGCAGGUGACAGCAGGGGAGGUGAUGCCCCCCCCAGCCCCUUCCUGGGAGCCGAGCGCCGGACGGGGGCGGUGGGAGCGGAGCCGGAACGCAGAGAGGCACCCCCGGCCUCGCUGCCCCCAUUUCUCCGCCCAAACCUCCCAAAUUCGGAGGCAGCCGCUCUGCCGGGGGGAAAGGACGGGCGCCGCUCGGGGGUGUUGGGGAAAGUUGCGCUCCGGGGAAGCGGCGGUGCAAGGGGAGCCAGGUGCACGCUGCCUGCCGGUACCCCACGUCGCUCCCGCCUCACCCAAACGAAUGAUGCAGCACUUUAAUUAGGAGGGAGCGCCGCGUCCAUAUUGCACCGGCGAAGGAGAGCGGCGGAGCCUGGCAAAUAUGGUGCCCGGCCGCGGGCGCGGAAGCUGCGCCCCUGUCCGCGGAGAGCGCGGCGGGGCGGCGGGAGGACCCCCGGGCGCUCCCCGCAGCUCCGCCCGACAACUUCCCGAUGCAGAACUGCGGGUGCAGUUAAGUGUUCUCCCGGCCGAGCACUGGGGAAGGGGAGUUUGGGUUCAAGGGAUGGGCGCGGGGUACGCGGAGCUGCGUGUGCCCGGGAUGGGCGUGCGCGGGUGCGGGAGGUGGGGAUGCGCGGGGCAGCGGGGAUGCGGGAGGCACCGGGGACAGAAGGGACAUCAGGGAUACGGGGGACAUCGGGUGCCGCGUCCCUGACCUGACCUAUCUCGGAGGGGACCCGCGGGUGCCACCCAGGGGAGGCACAGCCCGCGGUUCCUUCCGCGCAUCGCGCGACUUUCAGCUCCGGGCGGACCCGCGCAAGCCUCUCGCUGCACUGCACUCCGCUCCCUUCCGCGGAUCCUCCGCGGGCCGCGCCCCCUCCCCGCCCCGCAGCCCCGUUACCUGCCUGCAGCUCUCCGGGGCGGCCAGGUGCCGGCCCCUUCGCCUCCGCGCAAACUCCGCGCAUGGGAUCGCGCCCCGUCUUGCGCCGAGAGGAAGGAUGCGAGAGGUGCCGCGUGUCCUCCGCCGCCAGGUUUUGGGCUUUGCUUCCUCGUAAGGAGGGAGGGAGGGAGGCUGCUGGGUCCUGGAGAAGCUGCGGGGCCGGACGCAGCGGGACGGGCAGCAGCGCCGGGAGCAGCGGGCGCUGCGCGGAGAGCGGAGCGGAGCGGGGCGGAGCGGCCGAGCCGGGACAGCUCUGCCUUCCCCGCCGCAUCCCCGCAGUCAGGACAUCUCUGAUUUCCGUCAGAGUUGGAUUUUUAUUUUUAUUAUUAUUUAAAAGAGAAGGGGGUUGCCAAUUGUGACCCAUCCCGGUGGCUUUUUCCUCUCUGAUUCUUCUUGCUCUUUUUUUUUUUUUCCUCCCCCAUCUGUUCGUUUCCCACUUCCUCUCCGCCAACCAGCCCCCUCCUUCCCUCUUAAAAAAAAAAAUAGGCAGAAAGGAAAGAAAAAAAAAAAAAUGUAUAGUCAGGGCUUCCCAAAUGCGCGCCCCCGACCUGGUGCCAAGCGCGCCCCCUCCAUUUGUUCCUCUUCUUGAAGCUCAUUUUCAUGACGUGGAAAAGCCUGAUCCAGGGCAGCGCCGCGCACACACACACACACAUACACACACACACACACACGCACACACACACGCACUGCACACACCGCGCACACCCGGCAAGGAGCGCACCCGACACCGCCGCGCCCCGGCGCUCCCGCUCCGCGCUGCCCGGUGAAGGCGGCGGCUGAAGCCUGCAGCAGCCCCUCCGCUCCCUCCUCCAUUGAGUGUGCCAAACAGCAGCUCUGCAUCCUAAAGAAGAUCAUUGAGGGGCUCAUUGCAUUCCCAGCACGUCGCAGGCUCGGUUCUUUUUUUUUUUUCCCUUUUGCCUCAGCUUCAGCAGGAGUGGAGAGAGGGAGAGAGGCAGAGGGAGAGGCUGAGGGAACAGCAAGCUUUAAACUCGGGCUUUUUUUUUCCCCCCCUCUUCCCCCUUUUUUUUUCCUGUAACGAUGUGCUAAAAUCUCUCCUGCAGACCGGUAAGUACGCCUUUCUGGAUCCUUUUGUUUCCGCGUAGGGUCAGAGACACCCCCUCUCCCCAAUAGGAGAUCUAAUAACCCUCUUUAUUUAUUAUUAUUAUUAUUAUUAUUNUGUGCCCGUGCAUUUAAAAUAUCGGGUGGAAGGAUGGGGGAAACCGUAUGUUGAAAGAGCUGCAUCUCAUUAGUACAGUAUUAUUUUCAUCUGAUUGGAGAGGAACGGUGCCUUCAUUCGGAAGCGCAUAUAGUAGGAUAGAUAAUUUACCGGCUGGUAAGUGCCAAGGCAUUUUCUCUUCCACUUUCAGCUUUCUAACCGGGUCUCCUGCUUGGUGCUGGGGCACAGAACAGCCUACCCCGAGGCAGGCUGAGCGCUCCAUCCUGGCUGCCUCCGAGCUGUCACUUCCCCUUAGAUCUGCUGAUCGCAUGGGCAUGUGCUUUAGCAAGAUUAAUCAUCUCUAAACGCUUUAAUCAGCUAAAAUGACUAAUAUGUGGUAUGUAUCUAUCUGAUAAUUUACCAGCUGCAAUAAUUUUGUGGUUGUGUUUGGAUGGGGAACGUUUUCCUUUAGAUCAGGGUUGUUAACCAUUUGCUGCUUUGAAGACAUUGUGGGGGUGCCGGAAGGGAAGCGUUCUGGCAGGGGCAUCAGCAAACCUCACAUUCCUCCCAACUUACCUAUGGAAUGCACGGAGCUGGCAGGGAGAGAGACUGA
rnacentral:lncRNA from 1 species